GGACAGGGGAGGCUGCCUCUGAUGUGAAUUACACCAUCCAAUAGGCUGGGGUUGUGGAUGCAAAAGUUGUCAGAGAAAGCCAGCAGGUGCAUGGGAGCUGUACUUCCUGUGCAAGUGUGUCUAAUGCUGCCCCAUGGCCCACAGCGUCAAUGAGAGCCUCUGGGUUUCACAGCACGAACUAAUUCCACUGACUCUCCAGCGGCUUCCAGAACCCGCCUUUCCUUUGCUCUAAGAAAACAGGGUUUCUUUGGCUGUCUGGGAACUCACCUCUGUAAACCAGGCUAGCCUCAAAUUCAGAGAUCCACCUGCUUCUGCCUUCCAAAAGCUGGGAUUAAAGGCGUGCGCCGCGUCUGCCUCCACCACCACCACCAGCAGGCAUCCACUUCAAUGAUUUAACUAAGAAAAAUUCCCCACAGCUUGUGGUGGUUUGAGUAGGUACAGCUUCUAUAGACUCAAGCUUGGCCCAUAAGGAGUGGCACUAUAAGGAGAUGUGGCCCCAUUGGAGUAGGUGUGGCUUUGUCGGAGGAAGUGUUACUGGGGGUGGGCUUUGAGGUCCCCUGUACUCAAGCUAGGCCCAGUGUGGCACUUUCUCUUCCUGUUGCCUGCCAAUCCAGAUGUAGAACUCUCAGCACCUUCUCCAGCAUAUCUGUGUGCACGCGUGUUUCAUACCAUGAUGAUAAUGGACUGGGCCUCUGUAACUGUAAGCCAGCCCCAUUUAAAUGUUUCCCUUUACAUGAGUCGCUGUGGUCAUGGUGUCUAUGCACAGCAAUAGAAUACUAAGACACAAGUGUACCCAGCUGAUUGGAUUUUAGUUAAUUGCAGAUACAGUCAAGUUCACAACCAAGAAUAGCCACCACACAUAGGCUCAUCACAACCGAAUGCAAGGACAUAAGGAUGGGCUUGGCGCAACGUUCAUCUAAAACCAGAUGCUUCACAACAAAUAUAGACCAAAUAGAGACUUAUGAUCCAGUUUAACAUAAAGCUUGAUUUGCUAGCUGGCUACAGAGCCUCCGUCUAUCUGCCACACAACCUGCUCGUGGGUGCCCUGCAGCAUUUGCUGGGUGAAUAGAAGAAGAAGAAAAGAAGAAAAGAAGAAAAGAAGAAAAGAAGAAAAGAAGGAAGAAGGAAGAAGGAAGAAGAAGGAGAAGAAGAAGGAGAAGAAGAAGAAGAAGAAGAAGAAGAAGAAAGAAGGAGAAGAAGGAGCAAAGAAAGAAACAGACCAAGAGAAGAAAGAAUGUGCCUUGCCCUCCAAAGAGAGUGCCCAAGGAACACCAUGGCAAUGCAAGAAAUGUUGGGAGUCAGAGAGGGGGCGGUGGAAGAGUGUCUAUUCUCCAAAGAGAAAAUGGCACAGGCUUUGCAAGCAAGAGUUGGAGGAACCUGGAAGCAAAUGCUUGCCAAAGUUCUGUCAACUUCCUAGCAAGUCACACUCUGAGACAUCUUCCCACCUCCAGGUCCCAGAAGCUGCCAAGAGCCCCAGGCAGAGAAAGAGGCACCUUAGCAUGACCCACCUCAGCCUAACAGGAAGUGCUGUCAAAUGGCAGAAUGUCUGAAACACACACACACACACACACACACACACACACAAAAUUAUUUUAGUCGAGGUAUUUUAAAAUUCCUCCCUCAAGGCAGCCUCCGGUUGCCACAGCAACCCCAGCUCUGUAGGGUGUCCUGAUUACCAACAUGCUCCCUGCACCAGUCCGGAGGUGUUCCUCAACAACCCUGGAGUCUGCCAUCAGUGGACCACUCAAAGUGCCUCAGUGACUAUAUCUGUUCACUGCCAUGCCUCACAGAUGCUUGGUCCCAGAUUGAUAACUUUAAGCCUGUAGUCCUAGCACUGGGGAGGUAGAGACUUGAGUCCAAGUGUUCAAGACCAGCCUAGACAACAUAGUGAAACCUAUCUCCUCAAAAUGAAAUCAAGCAAACUACGGGUUCAUUGCCUACCAUAUAUCAUUCCCUGAGUCUGAUCCCAAGAAAGGAUUAAAUUGAAGUGGGAAAGGGUGGUGGAGGCCAGGCGUGGUGGUAUAUACUUGUCGUCUCUGCACUUGCAAGUCAAGGGCAGCCCAGAAAUUCAAGGUCACCCUGCCUUAUAAAGCAAGUUUGAAGCCAGUCUGGGCUAUAAGACCCUGUCUUAACACAAAACGGAAGUGCUGGAAUCUUGCCUACGAUGCUUUACCAGCUGAGUCCCACUACUAGUAUGUAAAAAUGGGGUUUUUUUGGAUGAUUUUCUUUUUCAAGAAAGGGUUUCUCUGUGUAGCCCUGGCUGUUCUAGAACUCUCUCUGUGGACCAGGCUGGCUUCGAACUCAGAAAUCCGACUGCCCCUGCUUCUCAAGUGCUAGGAUUAAAGGUGUGAGCCACCACACCAAAAAUAGUUUUUUAAGGGCUUACAUAUUAUUCAAAUUGAUAUCCGGCCUUCUACUUGUGGAUUUUUUGAUUGUUUUUUAAAGAUUUAAUUAAUUAAUUUAUUUAAUAUCUGCAGCUGUCUUCAGACACAGUAGAAGAAGGCAUCAGAUCCCAUUACAGAUGGUUGUGAGCCACCAUGUGUGUUAGUGAGAACUGAACUCAUACCUCUGGAAGAGCAGUUGGGGUUCUUAACUGCUGAGCCAUCUCUCCAGCCCCUAUUUGUUUGGCUUUGGGACAGUUAUUCUAUACAGCCCAGUUGUAGACCAGGCUGGCCUUGAACUCACAAAGAUACACCUGCUUCUGACUCCAGAGUGCUGGGAUUAAAGGCGUGUGCCAAUGUUGCCCAGCUCAGCUGUUUUUGUUUGUCUGAAGCAGGGUCUAUACAGCCCUGGCCGUCCUGGCAGCCUUUGUUGCUCCAUCAAAACUUGUAUAGGUCACCUUUUCACUCUGUUUGUAAUUGAGCAAAUGAAGGCAGUUGGUUAUGCGUUGUUUCCACUUCUCAUUUAGCUCAAUUAGCCCCUUAGGGACAGGACUAGACCUGCUGGCGGGGAGCCAGGAAUCCUGCAUGAUGUCUUUAAGAACACAAGCAAGAGAAUGACCAGUGCUACAGCAGUCCCUAGGACCUUGCCAAAGGACCCAUGCUACAGUCCUGGUGCCCUCACAUAGCCACACUUGGCUUUGCCCUCCUGUUCUCUUGAAUACACAGCUGCACUCCAUAUAAGCUGAACAUGUUGGACCCAAGGAGAUGCUCCCGGACUGUGGUUCCACUGGGCAGUGCUUGGAGAAAGACAGAAGAAGCCCACAGCCUGGGGAGGUCUCGGGAGCACACAAGACCCAGCUAGAAGACUGACUACAGGCCUAGUCCCUCUUAAAAACAAAUUCUCUUUGUCUGCAUCUCAGUUUCUGCACCAAGUUUGUGCUGUGCCUGCAGAGGCCAGGGAAAGGGGAUUGAAUUCCCUGAGACUGUAGUUGCAGGUGGUUUUGAGUCACCAAGUGCUCCUGGAAAUAGAACCCAGGUCCUGUGGACGAGCAGCCCCCGCCCCAGCCCACCCCCACUUCUCGUUUGAUUUCGGUUGGUUUCCACUCAAGAAUGGUAUUGCUGCCAAUGUUCGGUCAUUACCAUGAUGCUGAGUGCUACCGGCCAAACAACAUGCCUUUAUGUUUCUGACAGGAGUAACUGAAUGACUUCUGCCUUUGGACCUUACUUGUAAGAAAUGGAAUAGGUUAACUGCCUCUGAGUAGUGGGGCUUGUGAGGCUCCAAACUCUAUUAACUCCUGAUACUCAUUUAAAACCUCUAGGCUGUGGAGAUGGCUCAGCGGGUAAAUUAAACUUGCUUCCCACACAAGCCUGGCCACCUGAUCUCAACUUCCAGAAUCCACACAAAGGUGAGAGAACCACGCUGACAAAGUUGGCUCCUGACCUGCAUCCACUUGCCACGGCACACGCACACCACAUACACACAGUAAAUAAAGC
rnacentral:lncRNA from 1 species